UACGGAGGGUGCAAACGUUGCUCGGAAUCAUUGGGCGUAAAGCGCACGUAGGCGGCCUGUUAAGUCGGAUGUGAAAGCCCCGGGCUCAACCCGGGAAGUGCAUUCGAAACUGGCAGGCUUGAAUAUGGAAGAGGGUCGCGGAAUUCCCGGUGUAGAGGUGAAAUUCGUAAAUAUCGGGAGGAACACCAGUGGCGAAGGCGGCGACCUGGGCCAAUAUUGACGCUGAGGUGCGAAAGCGUGGGGAGCGAACAGG
rnacentral:rRNA from 1 species